rnacentral:lncRNA from 1 species
AAGUUAAACCAUCAAUUCAAGUGUUUUUGUUCCAGCCCUCACAAGUUGGCUAUUGCUAUGGCCCAUAGAAAGCUGUUCUACAUGAAAUAGAAUGCAUCUCUGAGAAGCAGCACAAGAACAGAUGAAACCAAAGGCCAUGGUAAACAGCAUAGGCCUUCAGACAUCAUGAGCAACAUUAGUAUAUAAGCUGACAAAUUUGUUUACAACACAAGGCUGUUGUGAAUAACUUUUUGCAUGAAAAGAAAUGUUCAAAGGAAAAUGCAAUAUGGUAAAAGAAAGGUCAGAAACAUGAUCUGUGAGACAACUUUUCUAAAAAAAAUAUGUUGGCUGCUUUGCUUAAAAUGUAGGGG